CAGGAACAAGUAACUUAGCUAGCUAAGUUGGCUACAUAGCUUGGCCAAAUCUGUCCAAACUAAAGUCUGAGGGACUUUGAUCUCAUAACACAAAUUUACUUACUCAAAUACGACAAAUUAUAUACUUGGAGUUACAAGACGUGCAUGUGCGAUCAUGCGAUCAAAGAGCAGGUUAAUCUGCUAUAAAGGUGUGAAGUUAUUUGAAAAGACCGCUGAGAAGUAAAGAACACUUUUUUUUUUUUGGUUCACUGCCGAGCAUACAUAUCACAUUUCAUCUUCACAGCAGUCGACCAGAUGCUACAGAAAUAGUAGAAGUGAGAAAUGUGUUAGAUAUCCAUGGAAAAUUCUAUGACUGACCUGUUUUUGAGGAAAGUUGAUUCUCUAUGACUUGACCGCUAGGUGAGUUAGUUUACAUUAGUAUGUGCUUUGAAUUAAUUAUCUGACCAACACAACUGCUUAGGUUUGGUGUGUCUGAUGUUAAGAUUCAUGCAAUUGUGAAUAGAAACAAAUGUCCAGUACUUUCUGUAGCGAUAAAGCCUCUAUGAUAUUGAGUUUCUGAGAAUGUCAGGCUCCUUUUCUCUCCCGUUCUCAGAAGGUUUAGGAUUUAGUAUGUGUUGAUUGCUACUAGUAAUUUACACAAUGCUAGUCUCAUCAUAGCAAUAGGCCCCCUUGGGUUUUGUUAUGUGACUGUAACGUGACCCUCCCCCCUGUUUCUCCAUGUCGUAGCCCCCCGGAUGUGUGGAUGAGGUGAACACAGGGCUUUUUGCUGUUUUCCCCUAGAAGCAGCACUGUGAGGUAGAUCUCCACUCCCCAUUUUCUUUCUGUGUCCACCUCUGAAGAUAGGAUGAGUUGGUAAAGAGGAAUCAGUGUCAGGGCACAGCUGACACAAAGUGCUGCUUCCCUACAACUUUUGAGAAGAGAAUAGACAGAUUUCUGCCUCAUGGAGCAGUUGACUUAACUCCCUGACUGACACGGACAUAGGCCUUUAUCCAGAUUCUGGGCCAUUGCUGUUUCUCAAUCCAUCACCUGAGCAUAUCCCAAUCGCCCCUCCUCGACACUGGGCAAGACUUCGCAUGGCACGCCUGUAAUAGAUUAUUGUGGUACCACCAAAGCCCC
ensembl:lncRNA